UGGGGAAUAUUGGACAAUGGGCGAAAGCCUGAUCCAGCAAUGCCGCGUGUGUGAAGAAGGCCUUCGGGUUGUAAAGCACUUUCAGCAGGGAGGAAAGCUUUAGGGUUAAUAACCCUGAGGGGUGACGUUACCUGCAGAAGAAGCACCGGCUAACUCUGUGCCAGCAGCCGCGGUAAUACAGAGGGUGCAAGCGUUAAUCGGAAUUACUGGGCGUAAAGCGCUCGUAGGCGGAUUCUUAAGUCGAUUGUGAAAGCCCUGGGCUUAACCUGGGAACUGCAGUCGAUACUGGGUAUCUAGAGUAUGGUAGAGGAUAGUGGAAUUCCCGGUGUAGCAGUGAAAUGCGUAGAUAUCGGGAGGAACACCAGUGGCGAAGGCGACUUUCUGGACCAAUACUGACGCUGAGGAGCGAAAGCGUGGGGAGCAAACA
rnacentral:rRNA from 1 species